rnacentral:rRNA from 1 species
GGGACCGAGAUGUCACUAUGCCAGUGUUGUGCCUUUGAGAGUGUGGCUUGCCGCGACCUAACGCGUUAAAUUCGACCGCCUGGGGAGUACGGCCGCAAGGUUAAAACUCAAAUGAAUUGACGGGGGCCCGCACAAGCGGUGGAGCAUGUGGUUUAAUUCGAUGCAACGCGAAGAACCUUACCUGGCCUUGACAUCCACAGAACUUUCCAGAGAUGGAUUGGUGCCUUCGGGAACUGUGAGACAGGUGCUGCAUGGCUGUCGUCAGCUCGUGUUGUGAAAUGUUGGGUUAAGUCCCGCAACGAGCGCAACCCUUGUCCUUUGUUGCCAGCGGUUUAUGGUGGAACUCAUAGGGAAAUGGCCGUGAACAACUGGAAGAAAGGGGGGAAGAACUUCAAUCCUCCAGGGCCCUUACACCCUGGGCUACCCCCUGGCUACAUGGGUCAGAACAAAAGGAUCCACCUCCCCAAAGCGAACCUAACCCCAAAAAUGCGACCUAAUCCCGAAUGGAAUCCGGCACUUCAACCGCUGAAAUUCGAAAUCGCUAUUAUCCUAGAAUCAAAUGGUCCCGUGAAUUACUUUCCCGGGCCUGGUACACACCGCCCGUCACACCAGGGAGUGGGUUUGCACAGAAAGUAGCUACUCUAACCUUCGGAGGGACUUAACACUUUGUGUGAUUCGACUGGGGGUGAAUCUAAAGGGGGGACACACAAAA